CCUACGGGGAGCAGCAGUGGGGAAUAUUGCACAAUGGGGGAAACCCUGAUGCAGCGACGCCGCGUGAGUGAAGAAGGAUUUCGGUAUGUAAAGCUCGAUCAGCAGGGAAGAGAAUGACGGUACCGGAGGAAGAAGCCCCGGCUAACGACGUGCCAGCAGCCGCGGUAAGACGUAGGGGGCAAGCGUGAUCCGGAUUUACUGGGUGUCAAGGGAGCGUAGACGGCGAAGAAAGUCUGAAGUGAAAGCCCGCGGCUCAACCGCGGAACUGCUUUGGAAACUUUUUUGCUGGAGUACCGGAGAGGUAAGCGGACUUCCUAGUGUCGCGGUGACAUGCGUAGAUAUUAGGAG
rnacentral:rRNA from 1 species